rnacentral:lncRNA from 1 species
GGACAUCACUAGGUCUGAUACAUAUGGACCACUAGGACUGAAUAACAAUAUGGACCAUCACUAGGUCUGAUAAACAAUAUGGACCAUCAGUAGACUGAUAACAAUAUGGACCAUCACUAGGUCUGAUAACAACACAACUGCCCAUUAGACGGUUAGUUCCCUUCAGUUGGUAUAGUCCACAUUAUCAUCCAGUCAUUUCACUGUUUGGUUUACCUUCAUUUGCUUUCUUUGUAAACGCGUCACGGCCGUGUGGUUUGUUUUGAAGAUCAUUAGUAAAGUUGACAGUAUUAGAAAGACAUGCUAAUAGUUAUGGAGAGGAGAACAGACCAAGCCCUAACACAUGCGAUGUAAUCACACAGUUCCAUGGUUGGUGGCAGGCAAUGACCAGGAUAUAGUCUAUUAUUGUAACUAUUCCCAUAUUAUAAUAUAUUUUAUCACUAAUCUCCAACAUUAUCAUGGUGGUAAAGAACUGAAUGUGGCAGUUUCAGAAAUAAUUAAAACAUCGUUUUAUUAAAUUUUUAUUGAUUUUUUUGUUAUUUUACCAGGUAAGUUGACUGAGAAAACUUUCAUUUACAAUCAAUGACCUGGGGAAUAGUUACAGGGGAGAGGAGGAGAUAGAUGAGCCAAUGGUAAGCGGGGAUGGUUAGGUGGCCAUGGUCUAUACAGAGUAUUGGCCAAAAUCCACCCAUCAGGGUCGGUUUAGUACAGAGUGCUGGCCAACAUCCACCAAUCAGGGACGUCUAGUACAGAGGCUGGCCAACAUCCACCAAUCAGGGUCGGUCUGGUUCAGAGUGCUGGCCAACAUCCACCAAUCAGGGACAGUCCAGUUCAUCAGGGUCGGUCUAGUUCAGAGUGCUGGCAACAUCCAUCA